UACGGAGGGUGCGAGCGUUGUCCGGAUUUAUUGGGUUUAAAGGGUGCGCAGGUGGCCCGGUCAGUCAGUGGUGAAAUGCGGCCGCUCAACGGUCGAACUGCCAUUGAUACUGCCGGGCUUGAGGGGAGUGGAGGCCGCCGGAACGGACGGUGUAGCGGUGAAAUGCAUAGAUCUCGUCCAGAGCGCCGAUUGCGGAGGCAGGUGGCUACGCUUCAACUGCCACUGAGGCACGAAAGCGUGGGGAGCGAACAGG
rnacentral:rRNA from 1 species